rnacentral:rRNA from 1 species
UUGUAAAGCACUUUCAGUAGGGAGGAAGGUAGUGUAGUUAACACCUGCAUUAUUUGACGUUACCUACAGAAGAAGCACCGGCUAACUCCGUGCCAGCAGCCGCGGUAAUACGGAGGGUGCGAGCGUUAAUCGGAAUUUACUGGGCGUAAAGCGCAUGCAGGCGGCCUGUUAAGUCAGAUGUGAAAGCCCGGGGCUUAACCUCGGAAUUGCAUUUUGAAACUGGCAGGCUAGAGUCUUGUAGAGGGGGUAGGAAUUUCAGGUGUAGCGGUGAAAUGCGUAGAGAUCUGAAGGAAUACCAGUGGCGAAGGCGGCCCCCUCGGACAAAGAACUGACGCUCAGAUGCGAAAGCGUGGGGAGCAAACAGGAUUAGAUACCCUGGUAG